rnacentral:tRNA from 1 species
GGCCUUGCAAAUGCUGGGUGGAUCGGCCCCCUCCUAAGGGGAAGGUCGCCCGUUCGAAUCGGGCCGGGGUCACCA